UUGUAGUGCUUGACUGAGAGAUCAAAGACUAAGUGAUGUCCAGUCUUUUUUUUUUUUUUUUAAGACAGAGUCUUGCUCUGUUACCCAGGCUGGAAUGCAGUGGUGUGAUCUCGGCUCACUGCAACCUCUGCCUCCUGGGUUCAAGCGAUGCUCUUGCCUCAGCCUCCCGAGUAGCUGGGAUUACAGGUGUGUGCCACCACGCACAGCUAAUUUUUGUAUUUUUAGUAGAGACAGGGUUUCACCAUGUUGGGCAGGCUGGUCUCGAACUCCUGACCUCAGGUAAUCUGUCUGCCUC
rnacentral:lncRNA from 10 species